rnacentral:rRNA from 1 species
UAGAUAUGCUCUUCUGGAAUCGGAUAUUGGGCGUAAGAGCUCGUAGGCGGUUUGUCGCGUCUGCUGUGAAAUCCGGAGGCUCAACCUCCGGCCUGCAGUGGGUACGGGCAGACUAGAGUGCGGUAGGGGAGAUUGGAAUUCCUGGUGUAGCGGUGGAAUGCGCAGAUAUCAGGAGGAACACCGAUGGCGAAGGCAGAUCUCUGGGCCGUAACUGACGCUGAGGAGCGAAAGGGUGGGGAGCAAACAGGCUUAGAUACCCUGGUAGUCCACCCCGUAAACGUUGGGAACUAGUUGUGGGGUCCAUUCCACGGAUUCCGUGACGCAGCUAACGCAUUAAGUUCCCCGCCUGGGGAGUACGGCCGCAAGGCUAAAACUCAAAGGAAUUGACGGGGACCCGCACAAGCGGCGGAGCAUGCGGAUUAAUUCGAUGCAACGCGAAGAACCUUACCAAGGCUUGACAUAUACGAGAACGGGCCAGAAAUGGUCAACUCUUUGGACACUCGUAAACAGGUGGUGCAUGGUUGUCGUCAGCUCGUGUCGUGAGAUGUUGGGUUAAGUCCCGCAACGAGCGCAACCCUCGUUCUAUGUUGCCAGCACGUAAUGGUGGGAACUCAUGGGAUACUGCCGGGGUCAACUCGGAGGAAGGUGGGGAUGACGUCAAAUCAUCAUGCCCCUUAUGUCUUGGGCUUCACGCAUGCUACAAUGGCCGGUACAAAGGGCUGCAAUACCGCGAGGUGGAGCGAAUCCCAAAAAGCCGGUCCCAGUUCGGAUUGAGGUCUGCAACUCGACCUCAUGAAGUCGGAGUCGCUAGUAAUCGCAGAUCAGCAACGCUGCGGUGAUUACGUUCCCGGGUCUUGUACACACCGCCCCGUCAGUCAUGAAAGUCGGUAACACCUGAAGCCGGUGGCCUAAAUCCUUGUGGAGGGAGCCGUCGAAGGUGGGGAUCGGUAAUUAGGACUAAUUCGUAACAAGGUACCCAAU